rnacentral:rRNA from 1 species
UACGUAGGGGGCGAGCGUUGUCCGGAUUUACUGGGCGUAAAGCGCGCGUAGGCGGAACGUUAAGUCCGGUCUGAAAGCCCCCGGCUCAACCGGGGAGGGUGGCUGGAAACUGGCGUUCUUGAGGGCGAGAGAGGAGGGUGGAAUUCCUGGUGUAGCGGUGAAAUGCGUAGAGAUCAGGAGGAACACCCGGGGCGAAGGCGGCCCUCUGGCUCGACCCUGACGCUGAGGCGCGAAAGCAUGGGGAGCGAACAGG